GUCCACGCCGUAAACGAUGGGCACUAGGUGUAGGAGGUAUUGACCCCUUCUGUGCCGAAGCUAACGCAUUAAGUGCCCCGCCUGGGGGAGUACGGCCGCAAGGCUAAAACUCAAAGGAAUUGACGGGGGCCCGCACAAGCGGUGGAGCAUGUGGUUUAAUUCGACGCAACGCGAAGAACCUUACCUGGGUUUGACAUCCGCUGACAGUCCCGGAGACGGGAUCUUCCCCGCAAGGGGACAGCGAGACAGGUGCUGCAUGGCUGUCGU
rnacentral:rRNA from 1 species